rnacentral:rRNA from 1 species
UACGUAGGGGGCUAGCGUUGUCCGGAAUCAUUGGGCGUAAAGCGCGUGUAGGCGGCCGUGCAAGUCGGGUGUGAAAGCCCUCGGCUCAACCGAGGAAGUGCGCCCGAAACUGCAUGGCUUGACGUACGGAGAGGAUGGCGGAAUUCCCAAGUAGAGGUGAAAUUCGUAGAUAUGGGGAAGGAACACCGGUGGCGAAGGCGGCAUCUGGACGGAUACUGACGCUGAGACGGCGGAAAAGCG